rnacentral:tRNA from 1 species
GCCAGAUUGCCCGAGCGGCCAAAGGGAGCGGACUGUAAAUCCGCCGGCAUUCGCCUUCCAAGGUUCGAAUCCUUGAUCUGGCA